UGGGGAAUAUUGGACAAUGGGGGAAACCCUGAUCCAGCAAUGCCGCGUGAGUGAAGAAGGCCUUAGGGUUGUAAAGCUCUUUCGCCCGCGAAGAUAAUGACGGUAGCGGGAGAAGAAGCCCCGGCUAACUCCGUGCCAGCAGCAGCGGUAAUACGGAGGGGGCUAGCGUUGUUCGGAAUUACUGGGCGUAAAGCGUACGUAGGCGGAUGCGCAAGUUGGGGGUGAAAUCCCGGGGCUUAACCUCGGAAUUGCCCUCAAAACUGCACGUCUUGAGACCGAGAGAGGUAAGGGGAAUUCCUAGUGUAGAGGGGAAAUUCGUAGAUAUUAGGAAGAACACCAGUGGCGAAGGCGCCUUACUGGCUCGGUACUGACGCUGAGGUACGAAAGCGUGGGGAGCAAACA
rnacentral:rRNA from 1 species